CCUUAGUUGCCAGCAUUCAGUUGGGCACUCUAAGGUGACUGCCGGCUAAAAAGUCGGAGGAAGGUGGGGGAGUGACGUCAAAUCAUCAUGCCCCUUAUGACCUGGGCUACACACGUGCUACAAUGGGCGGUACAAAGGGUCGCGAACCCGCGAGGGGGAGCCAAUCCCAAAAAAGCCGCUCUCAGUUCGGAUUGCAGGCUGCAACUCGCCUGCAUGAAGCCGGAAUCGCUAGUAAUCGCGGAUCAGCAUGCCGCGGUGAAUACGUUCCCGGGCCUU
rnacentral:rRNA from 1 species